rnacentral:rRNA from 1 species
GACGAACGCUGGCGGCGUGCUUAACACAUGCAAGUCGAACGAUGAACUUGGAGCUUGCUCUGGGGGAUUAGUGGCGAACGGGUGAGUAACACGUGAGUAACCUGCCCUGGACUCUGGGAUAACUUCGAGAAAUCGGAGCUAGUACCGGAUAGGACCUUGCACCGCAUGGUGUGGGGUGGAAAGCUUUUCGGUUUGGGGUGGGCUCGCGGCCUAUCAGCUUGUUGGUGAGGUAAUGGCUCACCAAGGCGUCGACGGGUAGCCGGCCUGAGAGGGUGACCGGCCACACUGGGACUGAGACACGGCCCAGACUCCUACGGGAGGCAGCAGUGGGGAAUAUUGCACAAUGGGCGCAAGCCUGAUGCAGCAACGCCGCGUGCGGGAUGACGGCCUUCGGGUUGUAAACCGCUUUUAGUAGGGAAGAAGCCUUCGGGUGACGGUACCUGCAGAAAAAGGACCGGCUAACUACGUGCCAGCAGCCGCAGUAACAC